UACGUAGGGUGCAAGCGUUGUCCGGAAUUAUUGGGCGUAAAGAGCUUGUAGGCGGUCCGGUAAGUCCGCUGUGAAAGUCGGGGGCUCAACCCUCGGAUGCCGGUGGAUACUGGCGGGCUUGAGUACGGAAGAGGCGAGUGGAAUUCCUGGUGUAGCGGUGAAAUGCGCAGAUAUCAGGAGGAACACCAAUUGCGAAGGCAGCUCGCUGGGACGUUACUGACGCUGAGACGCGAAAGCGUGGGGAGCAAACAGG
rnacentral:rRNA from 1 species